UACGUAGGGGGCUAACGUUGUCCGGAAUCAUUGGGCGUAAAGAGCGUGUAGGCGGUCCGGUAAGUCCGCUGUGAAAGUCGGGGGCUCAACCCUCGAAUGCCGGUGGAUACUGUCGGGCUAGAGUGCGGAAGAGGCGAGUGGAAUUCCUGGUGUAGCGGUGAAAUGCGCAGAUACCAGGAGGAACACCUAUUGCGAAGGCAGCUCGCUGGGACGUAACUGACGCUGAGACGCGAAAGCGUGGGGAGCAAACAGG
rnacentral:rRNA from 1 species